ensembl:lncRNA
AUGAUCUUGUAUCUCGGCGCAGUGGCCCUCGGGGAAGUCGACUGUAAUUGGACGAACUCAUCACCUAAUGUGCCGGCAGCGAGGAGCUCCGCCCUUCAUCAUCACAAUGACCUUCAUCUGCCUCCUCGUCUUCACAACAAGACACAGAUCUCAGAAACAGUCAAAGCACCAAACCUAAAGCACAAAAGUCCAAAAGUGUGGACGGCAGUCGACUCCUACACGCAGAGUGAAGCUGAUGCUGUCGGUGAUAAUCGAGGUGGCUGGAAUCCCGUCCAACAUUCAGGUGUCCUCACGCAUCCCCUGCAAACCGGGAGCAGGUUAUGGGAAUAUGUGUUCUGGGAAAUGAGGAACGGCGCUGCGUUGGUGGUCUCGAGGGGCGAUGGCCGGCUGGCCUCGGGCUGAAUACUCACACUGCUGUGACGGUGACCCUCCUCACCUCACGUUCAGCUCAUUUAAAUGCAAACAGUCGCAGAGCUACAUUUUAUAUCACAGGUGCAUGUAUGCAGCAAAAUGUGGCACUAUGUGUGUGUGUUAACAUGUGACGGCUACUAUUUAUCACCAGUGAUUAUAUAUCCAGCAAGCAGCCUUGGUGAAGAAUUUAAAAUGGUAUAUCUAGGCUAGUAGCAGACUUUUUUUUUGCAAGUAUGCAAAUGCUUUGCUGAUGCAUUCAAACUGUACGCCUGUUGAACAUAUACUUGGCACGUGCUCUUGCAUUACUGAAAACCGAUGACCAAGUUGAAAUGUUUGAGAAACAUCCAAGAAAAGCAAUUAAAUUCAAUUCAAAUAGAAGUAAUAAAAGUAAACAAUUUUCCCUUAUUUAUUGCUGAAUAUUAUGUUCUGAUAUUAUGGUGACAUUAACAUACAUUUCACUCAGUUACUUAAGCAAAUAUUGUUAACUGCAUUUAAUUAAAUGUUUGGUUUCCUCAUGUUUAUUUCAUUUAAUAUAAAAUCAACCUGUGAAUUUUAUGAAACAAUAAUUCAGAAAUGUCUGUAUGUCUUUAACCUAAAAA